AUUUGUGAGCUAUAAAAUUUCCACGUAAAAAGUUAACGGUCCUUUUUACAGUUAAUAUCGUUGCCCUUGAUGACUAGUCCUGAAAUGUAAGCCCGUUUACCAGCGAGUCUGUUGAAAACUUUCCAACUCUUAGCAGCUCCUUUGCAUGCCUUUCCUUGUUUACCGGAAAACUGAAAAGUCUGUGCCCAAGGAAUUGAAACUCUCCGUUUUCUGACUGAAGAUAGUGGAAGGUAGUAAGCAAAAUCAGAGGACAUCAUCACUGGAUCACAGGAAAACAUUACUUUUCUCAAAUGCGGUAGAUUUGAUACGUCAGAUGUUGUCCUUUGUAUCUUAAAGUUAGAUGAAAGUGUUAAG